UCUGACCUGUUAGUAGCAUGGUGGGCCACAGCACUGUGCUGUGCUGUGAGCCUGGUCUGUCUCCAUCUAAGUUUCUUUAAUGAGAAAACAAAUAAAAUAUUCAAAAAAGAAAUUUUUUUUUUUUUUUUUUGAGACAGAGUCUCGCUCUGUCGCCCAGGCUGGAGUGCAGUGGCGCGAUCUCGGCUCACUGCAAGCUCCGCCUCCCGCGUUCACGUCGUUCUCCACCUCAGCCUCCCGAGUAGCUGGGACUACAUGCGCCCGCCAUCACACCAGGCUAAUUUUUUGUAUUUUUAGUAGAGACGGGGUUUCACCGUGUUAGCCAGGAUGGUCUCGAUCUCCUGACCUCGUGAUCCACCCGCCUCAGCCUCCCAAAGUGCUGGGAUUACAGGCGUGAGCUACUGCGCCCGGCCUAAAAUAUAUAUUAUGUGUAUAUACAUAGAUUUUUAAUUUAAUAAUAUUCCAUUGCUUAGAUGUACCACAGUUCAUUCAUCAGUUGAAAGGCCUUUGAGAUGCUCCCUCUUUGGGCAAUUAUGAAUAAUGUCACAAUCAACAUUUGCAUGCAGAUUUUGUGUGAACAUAAGAGUAAUUUCUCUUGGACUGGCAUGCCUGCUUUGUAUGGACAACUUUGUGUAGAAUUGAUAGUAUUAUUCCUUAAAUAUUUUGCAAAUUCAAGAAUGAAGUUAUCCAGAUUUUGAGUUACAAGACUUGUGAAAAGCAUGAAAUUUUACCCUACUUGCAGGAUUGGUGAAGUGCUAAUAUUUAUUCCACUCCUGUCUUCUGAGCUCUAACCAAAUUGAGAACAACUACAAAAAAUGAGGUUCUCUCAACACACCAGUGAUAUAAGUAUAAAAAUUUUUGUUUGCCAUGAAAUAAUUCAUAUCAGUCGUGAAAACCCUAGUGGCUGUCACCAGUAGAUAACAUAU
rnacentral:lncRNA from 1 species